CGCACAUUGCGCCUUUUGGUAUUCCGAAAGGCACGUCCGUUUGAGCGUCAUUAAACCGUCAUGCAAAACUAUUUUGUGUGGUUCUGGGGGUGACCGCCACCCCUUAAAUCAGUGACCGGCACCGGGAGACUAAUAACUUCAUUGUCAACCAAAGCCGUGAUGUGGACUCGGGCUACGCCCUCGUCCUUGCUCUUGACCUCAAAUCGGAUGAGGAUACCCGCUGAACUUAA
rnacentral:misc_RNA from 1 species